rnacentral:rRNA from 1 species
UACGGAGGGUGCAGGCGUUAUCCGGAUUCACUGGGUUUAAAGGGAGCGUAGGUGGGCUGGUAAGUCAGUGGUGAAAUCUCCGGGCUUAACUCGGAAACUGCCGUUGAUACUAUCAGUCUUGAAUAUUGUGGAGGUAAGCGGAAUAUGUCAUGUAGCGGUGAAAUGCUUAGAUAUGACAUAGAACACCGAUAGCGAAGGCAGCUUGCUACACAAUUAUUGACACUGAGGCUCGAAAGCGUGGGGAUCAAACAGG